GAACCGUUCGACUUCAGGUGAGGUCAGCGCCCUUUCAAGGCGCAUAGAUGGGUUCGAUCCCCAUACGGUUUACCA
rnacentral:tRNA from 1 species